rnacentral:lncRNA from 1 species
UCUCUCUCUGGUGAUGGUUCUUUGUGGAGUUUCUUGUGUGCCUACAAUGCUGGUGAGCACCUUUCAUUUCUGAUUAUCUUUUCCAAUGUGAUAAUCUUACUAAGCCUAACUUCUUUGUGUGCUUAUUGAUCAUCCAAUACUUUACAACAGCUGUAUGCUUACUGACCUUACAAUCCAUCUACUUCUUAAUCUACUAUAAUAAUUCCACUGAGUUUCUUUAAGAUCUAAGCACUGCUGCCAAGAAAACAUGAUAUGUAGACAUGGAGAGCUGAUGACAAACCAUAAAACAGUACCUUCUGUAAACCAAAAAAAGCAGAAACAGGAAAAACAUCUGAACUGAGGAAGCACAUAGUGCCAGGAGGAAAAAGCUGAGGAGUAUGGAAUACUGCAGUCCAGGGAGCCUGUGCACUGCAGAGACAGAGGGGAAAAAAAGCAGAGCCAGCUACCACAAAGUCUGAAGGAAGCAGCGACCAACUGGGGAAGCAGCAUUUUGCAGAAAAGCAGAUCCAUCAGGCACAAAAAGCAAGUGACAGAGAAGUCUGAUGAGUGGUUGCAAGUGAAGUGGCUGUAUUGAGGUACAAGCACCUCAAUUUACAUUUCAGUCUAACUCUCAUUUAACAUCAUUCUCUUCUUUUGGAGGAGGGAAAAUGAGAAUCAGAAACAUGGAAUGACUGCUAGAGACAUCAACAGAAGAGUCAUAUAUCUUGCAGUGCACAGCACUAAGCACUAGCUAUAGAUCUGGUAAACUGAGAAAGCAGUGAAUCAUUGUAUCUUCAAGGUAAAGCCAUUUUAAGGAUUAAUCCAAGGCAGAUCCUCAUGAAACUUCUUAUGAUGUUGUGAAACUGAAUUGAUCUCAUCAUCUUUAGCUUUUCAGUUACCAAAAUGAACCACAUCCCAUUGCAGAAGAAGCAUGAAAGAAGCAGCAUAGAAAUAGAAUGUAGGGAUGGCUACACACAACUAUACUUCCUUGUCAGCCUUUGGAAUGCAUUUCCAGCCUGUGGGGCUUUGGCCAGGACUUUAAUAAGGCCAAAAUCUGUAAUGGGACUUUCUGUUCACACAACAGUCUUUCAUCAAGGCCUUCAGAGAGCUCCCAGUACUACUCUCAAACAAAACAAAAAGCAAGCAGCAAAUAGCAGUGGUCUGACAAGGAGACCUAAGUUUUUCCCUCCACAAUCAAGUCAGCUCUGGCACUGGGAUAAAAGCAAUGGAAACAAGUCUUUUUCUAUCUGUGGGCCCUUCUAUAAAGAAUUGAACUGAAGAUGAUGUAGCUCUAAGGACUUAAAAGUCAUACUGUUUGAGAAAAUUACAGCAAUGGAAGUUGGGCUGCAUCGCUAAGUUAUGGCAAGAGAGUUAUGAGCAGGAAACUGAAGAGUGACCCUACAGAUUCAUUACCUUAUGUCACUGUAAUGAGCACUUCCAUUUUCUGUUACCUUUUCUCUCAUUUGAAUGAAGUUCCUUCCUCUUUUGGCCCAAUGCAGAGUUUCUGCCUAGCUCUAUUCAAAUAGCUUUGUCGUGAGUCUUGAACUCAUCAUGGAUUUUCCUUGCUAUCUGACCUCAUGUCAUAGAGUCACACAGAAAGGGCAAAGUGUGUCAUCACAGGACUGUGUGAGAUAACAGCGUGUUUCUGGCUUUCCUGCAGCCACCGGCAUGCAAGACAUUAGCAGUAAGCUGACAUCAGGAGAGCCAAACAGAUGAUCAUAUUUUUUUUGCUCCCCACAAAAGGCCUGAUGCAAAACUCACUGGAACUGGUGAAAAUAUAAAGGGCUUUGGCCAGGAAUAAUGGCCAGAAAUAAUUCCUUGGCUUUUCAGCCAGGAAUAAUGCUGAAAAGAUAUCUGGAGCUGAGAUGGUACAAAGGAACUAAUCCUAGUCACCUUCCUCUAGCAUCAGGCUCAAUUUGAUUUGAAUUGGCUAGCUUCUGCUGUGAAUUAAGCUCCAAGUCCCAAAGGCAACUCGACUCCAGUCAUCUAGCCUAACAGCCUCCUCCAAACUCGAUCCAGAGGGAAAAGUGACUAAUCCUAUUCAGUCGCUGCACUGAGCUAGCACCAUAGAUUAAAAAUGCUUGGGGCACACAGAAAGUGAAUAAUCUGGGUCAGUUUUUCUCUGCAAGUCCUUUGCACAUCUUGGCCAUAAUAAUAAUGAUAAUUUAAAAAAAAUAAUAAUGUUAAGAGACAGAAAGAGGAAGUGCUGGUAAGAAGGAAAUCUCACCUGAUAAAGUGCAUACACUUCACAGGAAAGAAAUAGAAGCAGCUCACGGGCUUUCUCAAAAUUGUCGAGAUGGAAAGGCAUUGCAUUAGAGGAGCUAGUUCACCUAUUCUCUAGAAAAUACAACAGGAACAUAUUCUAGACUCUCUUCCAGUUCUUCAGUGUCUGUGCAGGGCUGGUAGGACAGUCAUGGGUGAGAAAGCUGCAAUAACAUCUCAGGGCGCAGAAGCGGGCUCCUUGAGUCCCCUUCUCUCCCUGGCAAGGGGUAUGGUGUGGCUAGCACAGGAAAGCAGCACAUUGCCUGGUCCAGGCCAUGAGCUAGAAGGUGAGCCAUAACAUACAGUGGGAAUUAUCACUGAAGCAGUUGCACAAGAGAAGACAUCAGUAACUGCUUUCAGAGUGUGUAUUUUUGGGUAGGCUUCAAAGUAAAUAACCACUGGUGGUGGUUAUCAUACUACUUUGAACAGGCUUUCUAAAAAUCAUGUGCUGUGGAAAAUAUGCAGAUAACCCCCAACAAAGUUGUUAACAUAAGAGAAGUGUGUGUGUGUGCAAUUUUGUAAAAAUCUUUGUUUUCCCUGCACC